rnacentral:rRNA from 1 species
ACAUCCAGCGAACUUGGCAGAGAUGCCUUGGUGCCUUCGGGAACGCUGAGACAGGUGCUGCAUGGCUGUCGUCAGCUCGUGUUGUGAAAUGUUGGGUUAAGUCCCGNAACGAGCGCAACCCUUAUCCUUUGUCGCCAGCGAUUCGGUCGGGAACUCAAAGGAGACUGCCGGUGAUAAACCGGAGGAAGGUGGGGAUGACGUCAAGUCAUCAUGGCCCUUACGAGUAGGGCUACACACGUGCUACAAUGGCGCAUACAAAGAGAAGCGACCUCGCGAGAGCAAGCGGACCUCAUAAAGUGCGUCGUAGUCCGGAUCGGAGUCUGCAACUCGACUCCGUGAAGUCGGAAUCGCUAGUAAUCGUGGAUCAGAAUGCCACGGUGAAUACGUUCCCGGGCCUUGUACACACCGCCCGUCACACCAUGGGAGUGGGUUGCAAAAGAAGUAGGUAGCUUAACCUUCGGGAGGGCGCUUACCACUUUGUGAUUCAUGACUGGGGUGAAGUCGUAACAAGGUAGGCGUAGCGAG